rnacentral:tRNA from 1 species
GGAGUUGUGGCUCAGUGGCAGAGCGCUGCCUAGCAUGCAUGAGGCACUGAGUUCGAUUCCAGGCACCA